rnacentral:rRNA from 1 species
AGCAACACGUGAGCAAUCUGCCCCUGACUCUGGGAUAAGCGCUGGAAACGGCGUCUAAUACUGGAUACGAACCGUGGAGGCAUCUUCAACGGUUGGAAAGAUUUUUUGGUCAGGGAUGAGCUCGCGGCCUAUCAGCUUGUUGGUGAGGUAAUGGCUCACCAAGGCGUCGACGGGUAGCCGGCCUGAGAGGGUGACCGGCCACACUGGGACUGAGACACGGCCCAGACUCCUACGGGAGGCAGCAGUG